UAAUGGCUCACCAAGGCGACGAUCCCUAGCUGGUCUGAGAGGAUGAUCAGCCACACUGGAACUGAGACACGGUCCAGACUCCUACGGGAGGCAGCAGUGGGGAAUAUUGCACAAUGGGCGCAAGCCUGAUGCAGCCAUGCCGCGUGUGUGAAGAAGGCCUUCGGGUUGUAAAGCACUUUCAGUCGUGAGGAAGGUGGUAUUGUUAAUAGCAUCAUCAUUUGACGUUAGCGGCAGAAGAAGCACCGGCUAACUCCGUGCCAGCAGCCGCGGUAAUACGGAGGGUGCGAGCGUUAAUCGGAAUUACUGGGCGUAAAGCGCAUGCAGGUGGUUUGUUAAGUCAGAUGUGAAAGCCCGGGGCUCAACCUCGGAAUAGCAUUUGAAACUGGCAGACUAGAGUACUGUAGAGGGGGGUAGAAUUUCAGGUGU
rnacentral:rRNA from 1 species